CUGAGGGGGGCUGCUCCUAGUACGAGAGGACCGGAGUGGACGCAUCACUGGUGUUCGGGUUGUCAUGCCAAUGGCACUGCCCGGUAGCUAAAUGCGGAAGAGAUAAGUGCUGAAAGCAUCUAAGCACGAAACUUGCCCCGAGAUGAGUUCUCCCUGACUCCUUGAGAGUCCUGAAGGAACGUUGAAGACGACGACGUUGAUAGGCCGGGUGUGUAAGCGCAGCGAUGCGUUGAGCUAACCGGUACUAAUGAACCGUGAGGCUUAACCUUACAACGCCGAAGCUGUU
rnacentral:rRNA from 1 species